GGAGUCAUGCCUGAGUGGCCGAAAGGGGCACCCUGCUAAGGUGUUAACGGCGCAAGCUGUUCGAGGGUUCGAAUCCCUCUGACUCCGCCA
rnacentral:tRNA from 1 species